rnacentral:rRNA from 1 species
AUGCUGGAGGUAUCAGAAGUGCGAAUGCUGACAUAAGUAACGAUAAAGCGGGUGAAAAGCCCGCUCGCCGGAAGACCAAGGGUUCCUGUCCAACGUUAAUCGGGGCAGGGUGAGUCGACCCCUAAGGCGAGGCCGAAAGGCGUAGUCGAUGGGAAACAGGUUAAUAUUCCUGUACUUGGUGUUACUGCGAAGGGGGGACGGAGAAGGCUAUGUUGGCCGGGCGACGGUUGUCCCGGUUUAAGCGUGUAGGCUGGUUUUCCAGGCAAAUCCGGAAAAUCAAGGCUGAGGCGUGAUGACGAGGCACUACGGUGCUGAAGCAACAAAUGCCCUGCUUCCAGGAAAAGCCUCUAAGCAUCAGGUAACAUCAAAUCGUACCCCAAACCGACACAGGUGGUCAGGUAGAGAAUACCAAGGCGCUUGAGAGAACUCGGGUGAAGGAACUAGGCAAAAUGGUGCCGUAACUUCGGGAGAAGGCACGCUGAUAUGUAGGUGAAGCGACUUGCUCGUGGAGCUGAAAUCAGUCGAAGAUACCAGCUGGCUGCAACUGUUUAUUAAAAACACAGCACUGUGCAAACACGAAAGUGGACGUAUACGGUGUGACGCCUGCCCGGUGCCGGAAGGUUAAUUGAUGGGGUCAGCGCAAGCGAAGCUCUUGAUCGAAGCCCCGGUAAACGGCGGCCGUAACUAUAACGGUCCUAAGGUAGCGAAAUUCCUUGUCGGGUAAGUUCCGACCUGCACGAAUGGCGUAAUGAUGGCCAGGCUGUCUCCACCCGAGACUCAGUGAAAUUGAACUCGCUGUGAAGAUGCAGUGUACCCGCGGCAAGACGGAAAGACCCCGUGAACCUUUACUAUAGCUUGACACUGAACAUUGAGCCUUGAUGUGUAGGAUAGGUGGGAGGCUUUGAAGUGUGGACGCCAGUCUGCAUGGAGCCGACCUUGAAAUACCACCCUUUAAUGUUUGAUGUUCUAACGUUGACCCGUGAUCCGGGUUGCGGACAGUGUCUGGUGGGUAGUUUGACUGGGGCGGUCUCCUCCUAAAGAGUAACGGAGGAGCACGAAGGUUGGCUAAUCCUGGUCGGACAUCAGGAGGUUAGUGCAAUGGCAUAAGCCAGCUUGACUGCGAGCGUGACGGCGCGAGCAGGUGCGAAAGCAGGUCAUAGUGAUCCGGUGGUUCUGAAUGGAAGGGCCAUCGCUCAACGGAUAAAAGGUACUCCGGGGAUAACAGGCUGAUACCGCCCAAGAGUUCAUAUCGACGGCGGUGUUUGGCACCUCGAUGUCGGCUCAUCACAUCCUGGGGCUGAAGUAGGUCCCAAGGGUAUGGCUGUUCGCCAUUUAAAGUGGUACGCGAGCUGGGUUUAGAACGUCGUGAGACAGUUCGGUCCCUAUCUGCCGUGGGCGCUGGAGAACUGAGGGGGGCUGCUCCUAGUACGAGAGGACCGGAGUGGACGCAUCACUGGUGUUCGGGUUGUCAUGCCAAUGGCACUGCCCGGUAGCUAAAUGCGGAAGAGAUAAGUGCUGAAAGCAUCUAAGCACGAAACUUGCCCCGAGAUGAGUUCUCCCUGACCCUUUAAGGGUCCUGAAGGAACGUUGAAGACGACGACGUUGAUAGGCCGGGUGUGUAAGCGCAGCGAUGCGUUGAGCUAACCGGUACUAAUGAACCGUGAGGCUUAACCUUACAACGCCGAAGCUGUU